UUGGUCUAAUCUCAAGUUCUGGAGCUCCGAUUGACAUGAGUAUAGAAGUUCUGGAAACUAGACAAGAUUUUCUACAACUUUCGUGUUUUGUGCUUCUGCUAGUUAUGUCGUUUUGACUACCAAAACUUGCACAGAAGAUGAAGGACACCUCCAGACAUCUAAGACGUCCAGGUCAAACAGCCAACAUCUGGUCGUUAUUUCAGAGCAGAAAAGAAGGAAGAACCCCGUCAGCAUCUAACAUGGAAUCUAAGAUGUCCCCUAGGAUGUCUUGGCAUUUUAGGGACGUCCCGUGUUGGAACGGUGUGUUUAGGAAAGUUUAGAAAACAAGGCACGACGUCCUAGAACGCAUCUAAGACGUCUCCUAAGACGUUUGACGUUUUUGGCCAUUUUUUAGUAUAUUUCAAGGACGUACAAAGAUCGCUUGGGCGUUAUACACGACGUCUAAGAUGUCUCCUAGGACGUCCAACGUCCCACAUCGCCCAAUUUCAUUAUUUUUUAUCCCACACUAUAAAUAGGAGCCUAUUUCGUUGGUUAAAAUUCGGAUUCAAAGCAAGAUUCGAUUCAAUUCAUCAUCAAGCUAUAAGUGAAGAUCAUUUCAUUGGUUAAUUUUCAUCAAUUCUUUAUUUUCCAGAAUUAUUUCUUCUUCCCCAAGGUUUAUUUGUUCUACACUUCGAUAAUCAUUAGGCUACAUUUGUUUGAUGAUUCUACGUUUGUUUAUGAAUUCUAUAAUGGAUUUUAUUCAUUUUAAUCAAGUUAUUUGUCUUAUGAACUCAAUGGAAGGCUAAAUCAUUAGGGUUACUUCCGGGGAUGUUUAGGACUUUUUGAUGAACACACUUGAUUAUUACUUGAUUCUAGUUAAUUUCAAUUGUUGUUUUAUGCUUCAUGUGAUGAUCUUUUGGUAAUGAUAAUUGAAAUUGGGUUGUAUGAAUUGUUUGAUGUCAUAAUUAAGAUAGUCUAUUGUCAAUUCAUCAUUUGUUCCAAGUUCACAUAGUUUAGGAAUAAAGACAAGUGAUUGAAUCAACAUAUAUUAUUCCAACUUAUGAUAUUGAAUCUUAAUGCGGUAAUAGGUACUUGUAAGAUAUUUUAUUGCUAGUCCACUAAUUGUUCUUAAUCCAUUGAGGCAUAAAGGAGUAAGACAACUAGUUAAAUGAACAUUUAGUAUGCCCAAACUAUGUAUUACAAGUUAAUAAAUCCCAAUUGUAUCUAAGUAAUUGAAUUAGGAUUUAAGGGAAGAAAGUGUGUGAAUUUAAACUGUCCAUAACUGAACCGGGAGUACUCUAGUUUUCUCAUUGAGAUUUUCGUUGUAAUUAAUAAAUUUCCAUGCUUUUUGUUUGAUCUUUGCGUUAAAUUCUUUUUCGUGACAAUUGCUAGUAGCUUUUUUUCGUUGACUAUUUUAACACAAAGUUUGACAACAAACUCCCUGUAGAUUCGACCCUUACUUACCCUAGCUAUCUAGUGGUUUUGAGGUUAUUUUUGAUUGAUACAACGACAUCAAUCAUAAUUUGGCGCCUUUGUCGGGGAGAUUGUGCGCUUGAGCUAUUGUUUUUAAGUAGUUAUAGCCUUUUACUUUCAUUUUCAAUUCUCGUUUGUAGUUCACAUUUUGUUUUAUUUGUGUUGUGCAGGCACACUGGUGCAUGCAUACAAGACAUAGCAGACGCUCUUCACCGCUUGCAUUUGAUCCGGAAAUCGAACGAACAGCUCGCUCAAAUCGGGUCGCCAGAAGGAACAUCAACACUAUGAGUGUAGAUAAUGUUGUCGUGGAAGAUGUGGUUGAAGGGCAUGAGGAAGAAGCCAACAAUCCUCCACCACUAGUUCCACCACCAGCUCCUCAAUUCCCAAACAACAACAAUGGGAAUAACAACAAUGCCGGUGCACCAAUCAUCCAACCAGUGCAACCAUAACUGAAUAGAAACAACCGUGGCCAAAAUGGUGGAAACGGAGGAAAUUGGGCAUAGAAUAUGGGAGGCAAUGUAGGAAACCACACUGGUGGUAAUGUUAGAAAUCAUAACCAAAAUCCUAGAAAUGUUGGUCCUCAAUUCGGUAAUGGUGGUAAUGGUGGUAACGAGGAUGAUUGGGAUUUUGACGAUGGAAGUUACAACGGACUUGGUUGGAAUCAUAACCACAACGGUGGUAAUAGGCGGAAUCAAGGAAAUCGGGGUGGAAACGGGUACUAAAACAAUAACUGGAACAACCUGAAUUUCCCUAAUGGUGGCAACAAUUACUACAAUGAUGGGUUCGGAAAUCAAGGCUUUGGGAAUCAAUAUCGAAGGAAUCCAAAUGGUGGAUUCAACAAUGCGAAUGGAGGAUACUAAAAUGAAGGUAAUCAAUUCCCUCAUCUUUACUUUCUGCAGCCUAAUAGACAAUCUGUGGCGUCUCAUUUUCAGCCGAGAGAGUAUGAUGAUGCUUCACCCAUACUCUUCGCAGAAGUAAAUGAGCAUCAUGUAGAAGUAAGACCACAACUAAUUAGUGUCUUACCCGUCUUUAGAGGCCAUAAAACUAAUGAUCCAUACAAUCACCUCUAUGAGUUCCUUGCAAUUGCUAACGCGAAUACUCCGCGAGGAACUAAUAGAGAUUCAUUUAGACUUCUCUUAUUUCCGUUCACUUUAAAAGAAAAAGCUAAGUAUUGGUUCACUUCUCUUGCCCCCAUAGUAUCACUACUUGGGAGCAAUUAAAAACUAAAUUUUUGCAAGAGUUUUACCCAGCUAGUAAAACAACGGAAAUAAGAAAAGCCAUAGAAGAUUUUGCACAAAAACCCAAAGAAGAAUUUCAUGAUGCAUUUGAACGCCUCAAGGAAUUGUUCCGUUCAUGUCCCUAUCAUGAAUUUCCCCGUUGGCAACUGGUAGGUUUCUUUUAUGAUGGAGUCGAUACUGCCAAUCAAAGCAUGAUUAAUGCCUCGUCCGGCGGCAUUAUUAUGAUACAAGAUAGUGAAGACGCUUGGCGAUUCUUAGAGUAGUUGAGUCAUGGUUCAAAAACCAAUUACUCAGCUAAGAAACGGGACAAUCCAGUUUCAUCUGUUGCUUCAGUUGGACUAGACAAAAAACUGGAAAAAUGAAGUCAAAUCUGAUAUUAAUUCUUUAAAUAAAAUUUUUGACUUACUACUCUCUAGUCUAGGCAAAAAGAAAGGUGUGUUUUUUCGCAGGGACAGAAGAUAUGUGUAAGCUGUGGAGAUUCAUGACACAUUGCAGAUGAGUGCAUGAGAAUUCAAGAGGAAAUCAAUCAAGUGCAUGGUUAUGGUCAAUUCCAAAAUAAUCCACGAUCAUUCAAUCGGAACUACAUCCAAGGCGGGAACUACAACAACAUUGGGAUUUUCAACAACAACAACCGUCAAGGGAAUUACCAAAACCAAAAUCAGCCAAAACAGUUCCAGCAGUCCAACUUUAACCAAGGUGGAACAUCAAAGAAGGAGGAAAAUGAUGGCAACAAGUUGGACAAAAUCAUGGAGUUCAUAACCUAAACAUAUCAGAAAACCGACACUAACUCCAAGUCUAUAGCUGCUAUUGAGAAGCAAAUUGCUCAACUGGCGGAGCAAAUUGGGAAAAGAGAAGAUGGCAAGUUUCCAAGCACCACAACAGUGAACCCAUCUCAUACCCAGAGACCCCGAAAAGAGCAUCAAGUGAACGAGGUAAUUACCUUGUGUAGUGGAAAAAAGGUUGACAACAAGGUAAGUGCUUCUACAUUAGAUAAUGACAGUGACACUGAAGUCAUCUUUGAUGAAAAAGAAGAGUUUGAGAAAGAUUUUAAAUCCGAAAAACAAAAAGAAGAUAAGGUUAAAAAUGACUCUAAAGUUGGGGAGCAUGGUGUGGAGGUUAAUACCGCACCAUACCCUUCGGCUUUAGAGAAGCCGGCAUCCUUCCCUUUUGGGAAGCGAGGGCUAAAAAUGGAAGACAUGUGAGAUCUAUUUAGUCAAGUUAAAAUAAAUAUCCCAUUAGUCAAACUUAUUAAGGAGGUACCUUCUUAUGCUAAAUUUUUGAAGGAUUUGUGUGUUCAAAAACGCAAACUCCAAGCAUACCUCCCUAAAAAGAUUGAUUUAGUCAAGCAUGCGAGUUCGAUAAUAUCAAAUAAACUUCCACCCAAGCUUAAGGAUCAUGGAGCACCUUUAAUUUUUGUUACGCUAGGUAACAUUAAUAUAAAAAAGGCGCUCCUUGAUCUUGGAGCUAGUGUUAAUAUAAUCCCGGGAAAUUUUUUUGAUCAACAUGACUUAGGCACUUUGGAACAAACUGAUAUUAUUUUACGAUUGGCCGAUAAGUCAACAAAAAUUCCUUGGGGAAUAUUAUCAGAUGUUAUUAUUAAGGUGGGAGAUUUCUAUUACCCAGUUGAUUUUCUUAUGCUUGACACCGUGAGCACUUAUAAAGAAAGUCAACCUUCUAUUAUUUUAGGUCGUCCGUUAUUGACAGCAAUAAAUGCACAAAUUAAUUGUAGAACGGGUGCAAUGGAUAUCUCUUUUGGAAAUAGGAAACUUAGAAUUGAUAUUUUUAAUACGUUUCCUAACUCACCAUCAGAUUAUGAAUGUUAUCAUGUGGAUGUGGUUGAUGACUUAGUGCAUCAAUUCACUCUUAAAAUCUUACACCCUGAUCCAUUGGAGUUUUUUCUUUCUAAUGACAGGGACGAAGUUUUAGAGUUGGAUGACAUCAAGAUGGUUGAGGAGGCAUUUGAAAAUGUUAUUGAGCAAGAGAGGCCACCAUGGAGUUAUCAAGUUGAAAAAUUGCCAACAAGUUUUUCGGACCCACUUAAGCCAUCUUUGGAGGAGCCACCCAGUCUUGAACUCAAAACUCUUCCUUCACAUCAUAGAUACUCUUUUUUAGGAUCUAAGGAGAACUUACCAAUUACCAUAUCUUUUGAUUUGACAUGUCCACAGGAGGAAGCAUUACUGAAGGUGCUUUCGAAGUACAAGGGAGCAAUUGGAUGGACCAUAGCAGACUUGAAGGGAAUUAUUCCAGCCACAUGUAUGCAUUGAAUCAUCACUGAAGCUAGAGAAAAGCCAUCCCGAGAUGCACAACGAAGGCUCAACCCGAAUCUGCGAGAAGUUGUUAAAAAGGAGGUGUUGAAAUGGCUUGAUGCGGGUAUUAUCUACCCAAUAUUUGAUAGUGAUUGGGUGAGCCCGACACAGACAGUGCCAAAGAAGUCGGGCGUUACAGUGGUAGAUACAGAAGAUGGAGAGAAGAUCUCAACAAGAUCGGUCACCAGAUGGAGAGUUUGCAUCGACUAUCGCAAACUCAAUGCUGCAACAUCAAAUGACCAUUUCCCUCUCCCUUUUAUUGAUCAAAUAAUUGAGAAAUUGUAUGGUAAAAAGUUUUAUUGUUUUUUGGAUGGAUACUCGGGGUAUAAUCAAAUUGCCAUCCACCCCGAGUAUCAAUCCAAAAUGACAUUCACGUGUCCAUAUGGCACCUUUGCUUUCCGAAGGAUGCCAUUCGGCUUGUGUAAUGCCCCUGCCACAUUUUAAAGAUGUAUGAUGGCUAUUUUUUUAGACGUGGUGGGGGAUGCAUUAGAAAUUUUCAUGGAUGAUUUUUCUAUUUUUGGAUCAUCUUUUGAGACAUGCUUAGACCAAUUAGAAAAAGUUUUGAAACGUUGUAUUGACUCUAAUUUGGUUUUAAGUUGGGAGAAGAGUCAUUUCAUGAUAAAAUAGGGAAUUGUACUUGGCCAUGUUGUCUCCGAGCAUGGCUUUGAAGUCGACCGGGCCAUAGUACAAAUUAUUUCUACUCUUCUCCCACCAACUUCAGUAAAAGGCGCCCGUUCUUUUCUUGUACAUGCCGGCUUUUAUCGAAGAUUUAUCAAGGAUUUUAGUGCAAUGUCAAAACCUCUUUGUAAUUUACUUUUAAAAGAUGCACCAUUUUCCUUUGAUAAAGCAUGUCUUGAAUCUUUUACCACAUUAAAGAACAAACUUGUUGAAGCUCCUAUCUUGCAAUCACCCGAUUGGACUUUACAUUUUGAAAUUAUGUGUGAUCCAAGUGAUUACGCGGUAGGGGCAAUUUUGGGACAACGGGUGAAUAAAAAACCCAUUGCAAUUUGUUAUGCGAGCAAAAAAAUUUCGGAUGCACAAUUGAAUUACACUACUACCGAAAAAGAGUUGCUUGCGGUCGUGUUUGCACUUGAAAAUUUUAGAUCUUACAUAUGGGGAUCUAAAGUUGUAAUUUUUACCGACCAUAGUGCCAUUCACCACCUCUUGGAAAAGAAGGAUGCCAAACCACGUCUCAUAAGAUGGAUCCUUCUUCUUCAAGAGUUUAAUCUUGAAAUUCAGGACAAAAAGGGUUCUGAAAAUGUUGUGGUGGAUCAUUUAUAUAGAAUAACUAAUAAUGAUAACUCAACGAAAGUUAUUCAAGAAAACUUUCCAGAUGAGCAUAGUCUUGUUGUCAAAACUAUACCAUGGUUUGCUAAUUUAAUUAAUUACUUUGCGACAGGGGAAACUCCAUUGUAUUGGAAUGCUCAACAAAUGAGGUUCUUCCACUCUCAAACAAAAUACUACAUAUGGGAGGACCCAUAUAUUUUCAAAAUUGGAGCAGAUCAAGUGAAUAGGAGAUGUGUACCACAUACAGAGCAAGAAGACAUUCUUCGACACUGCCAUUCAUAUACAUGUGGAGGGCAUUUUAGUGCCAAAAGGCAGGGCAUCGGGUUCUACAAAGCGGUUUUUUCUGGCCCUCUAUUUUUAAAGAUGCACAUACAUUCGUUAAAGCUUGUAUUCGUUGCCAACAAGUUGGGGGGAUCUCAAGACGGGACAUGAUGCCAAUGACCCCAAUUUUAGUAGUUGAAAUCUUUGAUGUAUGGGGCAUUGAUUUCAUGGGUCUGUUCCCCACUUCUUUUGGCAAUCUAUACAUUCUUGUAGCCGUUGAUUAUGUAUCAAAAUGGCUCGAAACCGAGGAUACACACACGAAUGACCAUAGUGUUGUUUGUAAAUUUGUUAAAAAGAACAUAUUUUCUACACACGGAAUCCCUCGAACUAUUAUUAGUGAUGGGGGCUCCCAUUUUAAAAAUUGGCAUUUUGCAAAGUUACUUAAACACUAUAGUGUCACACAUAUGAUAGCUACUCCAUAUCACCCACAAACAAAUGGACAAGUAGAAGUGUCAAAUAGGGAAAUAAAACGAAUCUUGGAGAAGACUGUUCAUCCCGACCGAAAAGAUUGGUCAUUAAGAUUAGAUGAUGUGUUAUGGGCAUAUCGAACAACCUAUACGACGCCCAUUGGAAUGUCUCCGUAUCGGCUUGUUUAUGGAAAGCCAUGCCAUCUCCCGGUGGAGUUAGAACACCGUGCCAUGUGGGCCAUAAAAAAUGCUAACUUUGAAUUGAGUGAUGCAGGUAUAGAAAGGAAACUCCAAAUUGUUGAAUUGGAAGAGAUUCGAAAAGAAGCUUACGAAAGCUCAAGGAUCUAUAAAGAAAAGACGAAGGCAUUUCAUGACCGACAUAUUGUCCGAAAACAAUUCGUUAAAGAACAAUUGGUGUGGCUAUUCAACUCUCGUCUCAAACUCUUCCUCAGAAAGCUUCGGAGUAAAUGGAAUGGACCUUUUGUGGUGAAAAAUGUGGCGGAUCAUGGAUCUAUUGAAAUCAAGGACACGAAAGGCAGUGAACCAUUCAAGGUAAAUGGACAAAGACUCAAACCUUAUAUUCGAAUGGUAAAUGGUGAAACAACAUUCGUUGAGAAAACAACGCUCAAGGCAACACAAUAUUUAGAAACAACUUAGUCGAGGUAAACCGUCCGGCUGAAGACAUAAAACUUACCGCUUUUCGGGAGGCAACCCGUGGUUUGGUGUGUUUUUACUUCUAUUCUUCUUUUGGUGUGUUUUAAUUCUUUUCGUAUCGAGGACAAUCCAAGGUUUAAAGUUGGGGAGGGGGUAUUUAAUUUUUGUUUAAAAUUAAAUAAUAUUCGAAAAAUACUCAAAAAACAGCAAAAAAAAAUAGCCUCAGGCAUCCUAGGGGUGUCUUAGACGUUGUCUAAGACGCCGUCGGGCUGUCACUUCUUUUCCCCCCGAUGAAAACCCUUCGCGAAAAUUAAAAAAAUACCCUUAAUGUGUAUGACGUCCUAGGACGCGUCUAAGACGCCGGCUAGGACGUCGACGUGUUUUUCAACCGUUUUAUGCCGUUUUCUGCAUUAUUGUUGGUAUCUUUCUUCUCCAAACUGCCAUAGCCGAAAACCCACUUGUUCUUGCUUAUUUCCUUUGAUUUCUUGGCCAAAACUCAACCAAAAUUCGUGGUUUUUGUUGCAAUCUUCAAGAAAUCAAGUAAGAAACAUCACAUUGCAAGAUUUACACACUCUAAUCACUUAUUUGGGGCCGAUUUCAAAACCCACAAAAACUAGGGUUUCGAAAUUUUGACUUAUUUUGAGAUUUUACUUCAAGUUCUUGGUUCUUCUUCACUAGAAACACAAUUUCAACAAGGUAUAUGCUUCAAAACUCCAUCUUUUAGUUGAAUUUCAGAAUUUUUGCAUGUAUGUUCAUAUAUGUUUGAAAUUUUGAAAAAGAUGAAGAAUAUGAUAUAUAUUGGUAUGAAUUCUUGUGAAUUAGUGUUUGUAGUUGUUAGAAGUAUGUUCCAAACAAGUUGCAUGUGUUGAUUCGAGAAAUUUCUAAAAAUUGAAUUUUUGUUGUUAGUUGUUAAAAAAUAAUAAUAAUAAAUAAAAGCACAUAUAAUGUUGGAAAAUCAUUCUUAUGUUUAUAUUUGUGUUUGAAUUAAAAAUUCAAGUUUUUAGAAAAUUUCAGAAUGACACUGAAUUUUGACAUUGCAUUGUUAGUCUGAAUAUUUGCCUGUUACAGUUCUGUUCUGGUUUUAGUUAGAACUUGUCAGUUGAAGUUAACUUUUGGUUUAACUGUGUUUUUACUGAUUGGAUAAAUUUUUGAAAAAUAUUUAGUUACUAAAAACAUAACAGGACUUAAAACGGUUAUUUAUUUAGACUGGAUUUAUUUUAACUUUGUUUGGAACAACUUGCCAACUGAAUUAUUUGUUUUAUUUUUGUGACAUUUGAUAUGUUUAAUGGCAAGUUUUGUUUUGUGGUUUUGUGUAUGAAUUAUUUUGCAGAUGCCAGCAAAGAGAUCAAGGGUAGCAUCAUCAAGCAGUGCAUCUAGACAACCAGCUAGACAGUCGGAGCCAAAUGUACAUGUGGCUUUCAACCCACAGUAUCAGACAUUGCAUGAGCAUCUAGAUGACAUUCGUCCAACAGUUUAUGAGGCAACUCAUCCGAAUAUGGGUUUUAUUGUAGAGUACAUGGUGGAGCGACCGAGCUUCACUAGGUAUAAUAUUGUGGAGACGUUUGAUCGCUAUGGAUGGGGUGGAGUGCUAGACUUCAAUCCCACGCAGAUUUAUGUUGAUAUAGUGCAGGAAUGGAUGAGGAAACUUCGACGUGUCGAGGUGCCUGGUAGGCCGGAGGAGUUGCCGCUGAUUGGGACGGUCCGUACUCAUGAUAUAGUGAUAACUGUGCAGGGUAUUCGGGACAUGUUUCAUGUAGAUACUGGCUGUCAUUUUCAUUAUCUUGAGAAUCAUCUGACUGAGUAUAGAUGUAUUGACACGAGGGGGUAACCCUGGGGUUAGUAUGACUGAAGUAUACCGUAUAGUGUUCCAUGAGGGGACGAGGGCAUACGACAGAUUCCGCGAAUUGGUGCCUUUAGCAAAGGCAUUACAUAACAUUAUCACGAAAAAUGUGAACCCAAGGAAUAGUGAUCCUAGGGCGGUGAGGCCACAUGACUUAUAUGUAUUAUAUGGAUUGAUGAUAGGAUCUAUCUUUAUCUCUUAUGCAUAUAAUGCUAUGUGCAACAUAUGGUCCUGUUUUGAUAUCCAGCACAGAGUCACUACCCCCCAUGUUGCCCUGAUAUCGACAUAUGUUGCCUUGCUACUUCUUUUAGACACAUCUCAUUUCAUGUUGAAAAUGGGAGACAUAUUCUGAGGGAUUCUACCACAAAUCCGACAUACACGGCACCACUCGGAGUGGGGGAUGAGGAGCCAUUCGUUGGUGAUUUUUAGGGGGAUCAGUAGCAGCAAUAGGCAUAAGCAGCAGGUCGGGGAUAGAACAUGCAGGCAGCUUGGGAGGACUUUGUGGGGAGGCAGAACAUGCAUAACCAGGAGGUGCAGGCUUGGAUGGGGAGAACGGAUAUAUGGUUGAAGGGUGUCGAUACGACACUAGCUGAUAUUACUGAGCAGAUGCGACAGAUUGGCAUUACAUCUAGCAACACUUAUAGUGUUGCCACUCGUCAGUUGUACCAACAGGAGUACUAUGCAGAUGCUGCCUACACAUAGAGUCGUGUCCAGUAUGAACCGAUGGACAUUGAUCAACCACAGUAUCGAUACCGAGCUCCAGCUCCGUUCUUCUACCGAUCCGGGAAUCUGAGCAACUAUCCACCGCCAUCCGAGCAUGAGCAUUAUCAGCCACCACCAGCUACAGAGGACUCUACUCGCUUUGAGGAUUUAGUUGGAUCGAUCUUUGGGUAUCCUCCACCAUACCCACGUUAUCCUCCACAGUCGCCCCCACAUUGAACUUUGGUGAGAUCCUCUUUUGAUUUUUAUUUUUAUGGUUGUUUGAUGAAGACUUUUUUUAUUUUUAUUUUUAUUUUUCGUUUGCUUUUCAUGUCUUUAUUUGGGAUGAAUGUACUAUUAUUAAACUCAUUAUUAUUAUUACUCUCUCUUGGGUUGGUUCCAUUAAAUAUGUGAUGAGUUAGUAGCAUCUCUAUAUCUUGAACGUAACUCAUCAAAAUGGAAAAUGAUAGGAGUUUCGUAAAUUGAGUCAUAAUAUUUAUUUAAUAUUGAUUUUGUGGAUUGCUCAACCGAUUUGGGAAUAUUUAUAUUUAGUUAAAAAAUUGUUAUGUGAAAUACCCAAGUGUUUGAAAAAUGACGGUUUUUAGCUCGAGCCUACGAUCUUUCAAUUGAGGACCCAACCGAACAAUAUGUGUCAUCACGCUCUGAGUACUUGGUCUUACUUACUCUUGCGCCUUUGGGGUUGGGAGGGGACUAUUAUUGUUUUCACACAAUAAAAAAGCAUCAAAAGACAUUGAAGAACUUCCAAGUAUCUAUAUUCAAGCUCAAGUCAAAUACCAAAAUGAUCAAAUCCGAUGAAGCCAUCAAAGAACUUGAAGAAUGCAAAAUCAAGAUAAAUAUGAAGAAAAGUUCAAGUUGAAGACAUUGUGUGAAAUAAUGUGUGACCCCUCGAUAGCGGGAGCGUAUGGGUUGGUCCAUUAAGUGUUACCGACCGCGCUAACUAUGUUAGUGAACCUUGAAAAAAGGGACUUUGGCAAUGAGUUCAACUGAUUACUCAUGAGGGUGAUUAUUGGAAAGGGUUCAAAAAGUGGAGGGUUUCAAACAACAAAGUAAAAUAAGCAUAACAUGUGUUUUGAGUUUAAAAGUCUGGAUAAGAAAAUAAUAAUCCCCAUAAUCAAUAUAUUGUGCUAUUGGAAAUGUUGUGAUAAAAAGUACAGAAUUCAUGAUUCCAUUGAGUUUUUCUUAGGAUAAGAGAGUAAAGACUACGCUGAUUAUUUCAGGCCAAUCUCGGGACGAGUUUGGAAUAAAGUUGGGGAGGUUUGAUAAGUCCAUUUUAUGAAUGUACUAAAUUGUUAUAAAUCUGUUGAAUUGAUGUAUAAUUGUCCAAGAAUGGCACUACUUUGAUGAGUUGUUGAACUUCAUAUACAGGUCAAUAUAUUGUACUAAAAGUGGGCGGAACCUGCAAGUAAAACAGUGCUAAAGGAAUGAAGAAACGUUGCUGGGAAAACUGACCAUGCUUCAAUGUUUUGGUCAUAACUGAAGUUCCGCAGCUCUAAUUGACAUGAGUAAAGAAGUUCUGGAAACUAGACAAGAUUUUCUACAACUUUUGUGUUUUGUGUUUCUGCUAGUUAUGUCGUUUUGACCACCAAAACUUAAACGAAAGAUGAAGGAUGCCUCCAGGCGUCUAAGACAUCCCCUAGGACGUCCACAUCAAACGGUCAGCAUCUGGCCGUUAUUUCAAAGCAGAAAAGAAGGAAGAACCCCCGUCAGCGUCUUACAUGGCGUCAAAGAUGUCCCCUAGGACAUCUUGGCAUUUUGGGGAUGUCCCGUGUUGGAACGGUGUGUUUCGGAAAGUUUAGAAAACAAGGCAGGACGUCCUAGAACGUGUCUAAGACGUCUCCUAAUACGUUUGACGUUUUUGGCCAUUUUUUAGUGUAUUUCAAGGACGACAGAUGGCAUGCAAGGACGUACAAAGAACGCCUGGGCGUUAUACACGACAUCUAAGAUGUCUGCUAGGACGUCCAACAUCCCACAUCCCCCAAUUUCAUUAUUUUUUAUCUCACACUAUAAAUACGAGCCUAUGAAUUCGUUUUUAGGGUUACCACCUCCGAUUUUCAGAGUUUUUCAUGUGUUUUUGAGGCUUCUAAAACACUUGGAAACAUUUGAAAACACAAAUCCAUUCCAUUAAAAUCCGGAUUCAAAGCAAGACUCAAUUCAAUUCAUCAUCAAGCUAUAAGUGAAGAUCAUUUCAUUGGUUAAUCUUCAUCAAUUCUUUAUUUUCCAGAAUUAUUUCUUCUUCCCCAAGGUUUAUUUUUUCUAUAAUUUGAUAAUCAUUAGGCUACAUUUGUUUGAUGAUUCUACAUUUGUUUAUGAAUUCUAUUAUGCAUUUUAUUCAUUUCAAUCAAGUUAUUUGUUUUAUGAACUCAAUGGAAGGCUAAAUCAUUAGGGUUACUUCUGGGGAUGUUUAGGACUUUUUGAUGAACAUAAUUGAUUAUUACUUGAUUUUAGUUAAUUCAAUUGUUGUUUUAUGCUUCAUGUGAUGAUCUUUUAGUAAUGAUAAUUGAAAUUGGGUUGUAUGAAUUGUUUGAUGUCAUAAUUAAGAUAGUCUAUUGUCAAUUCAUCAUUUGUUCCAAGUUCACUUAGUUUAGGAAUAAAGACAAGUGACUGAAUCAACAUAUAUUAUUCCAACUUAUGAUAUUGAAUCUUAAUGCGGUAAUAGGUAGUUGUAUGAUAUUUUAUAGCUAGUCCACUAAUUGUUCUUAAUCCAUUUAGGCAUAAAGGAGUAAGACAACUAGUUAAAUGAAAAUUUAGUGUGCCCAAACUAUGUAUUACAAGUUAAUAAACCCCAAUUGUAUCUAAGUAAUUGAAUUAGGAUUUAAGGGAAGAAAGUGUGUGAAUUUAAACUAUCCAUAACUGAACCGGAAGUACUCUAGUUUUCUCAUUGAAAUUUUCGUUUUAAUUAAUAAAUUUCCAAGCUUUUUGUUUGAUCUUUGCUUUAAUUUUUUUUCGUGACAAUUUCUAGUAGUUUGUUUUUUUUCGUUGACUAUUUUAACACAAAAUUUGACGACAAACUCCUUGCGGAUUCGACCCUUACUUACCCUAGCUAUCUAGUGGUUUUGAGAUUAUUCUUGACUGAUACAACGACAUUGAUCAUCGUGCCAAAACCCUAAAGAGACCGAUGUGCCUGGGGCCCAAUUUGCUCUUCUUCCUGAAUCGGAUGACACCUUUCCAAUGUGACAAGUUCAGGGGGACCAUAUCCCUAACCUGAAACUCUAAAUCUGAUUGGUGCUUGUCGGCAUAGCUCUUCUUCCGGCUCUAAGCUGUCUGGAGCCUACUCCAAACUGCUGAAUCAACUUGGUAGUCUUGAGUACCGCUUUGGUACUCCCCAUUAGUAGCUGACCGUCCUCACCCCAACAUAUCAUGGUACUGCAUUUCUUUCUAUAGAGCAUCUCAAAAGGAGGUCGAUUAAUGUUGGCGUGAUUACUAUUGUUAUACAAAAACUAUUGGAUUAGGUGUCUAAGACCAUAACUAUUUUGGUAUGUACUUGACCCGAUUGUGAGCAUGGUCCUUUUGGGUUGCCUUCACCAUAGCAACUGAUGGGAUGAAUUAAGGAGAAAAAGGAUUAAUUAUGAUUUAUUAAUAUAUUAUAUGAAUAAUAUAUUAAAAGAGAAAUCAUAUUGUUUAAUUAAUAUUAGUCAAUAAUUCAUUUUGUGGCUAAAAGAGAUUAAUUAAAUAAAGGGGACUGAUAUUGCAAUUAUAUGAUAGUUGCAAAUUGGGCUAUGGAUUCCUAAUGGAAAUCGGAUUGGACAAAAUCUAUGGGAAGCCCAUAUGGAUUUCGUCCAAGGGCUUUCCAAGGGAACUCCAUGGGUUGCUUAAGGCGUAAGCAGUGAGAUUAGGGUUUCCUGAUUCAAAACCCUAAUAGCCUAAGUAUAAAAGGAACCCUUGGCAAGCCAAAAACGUCCCUAACCUUAUAAGAGAAACCCUAGGACGUUUUUGGUGCCUCCUCCCUCUCUCCUUGUUCAUCUUGUUACAUAUGGUGUUUGUGACUCCAUUAGAGGUGCAACAUUUGAGGCACUAGGCUUUCAGAAGUCAAUUACAAGAAGGAUUCGGAUUGUUAUUGCAACAUAACAAUCAAGGUAAGAUCUAAAAUCUAUCCUUUUGUCAAUUUUGAUUAUUGUAUACUAGAGUUAGGGUUUAUGAGCUUUGGAUGAUUAUUACGUAUAUCAGACAAACUAGAUCCAAAGCUUUAGGGUUUGCAUGUACACCAUAGGAUUGACGUAGUGCUCAAAACCCAUCAAAAACUACGCCAAAGGGAUAUAUGUAUCCCAACUCCCACCAAAAUCCAGAACACACGCCCGAAGCAUAUCCUCCAAGGUAUGAAUAGUCCUCUCGCUCUGACCAUCAGUAUGUGGGUGGAAAGUCGUACUGAAAUGCAGAUGAGUACCCAGCUCGUCGUGGAACCUCUUCCAAAAUCUGGAAGUAAACCGGACGUUCCUGUCUAAAACCACAAAACGGGCACACCAUGAAGUGCCACUACCUCCCUGAUGUAUACCUCAGCUAACUUCUCUGAGGAGAUACUAUCUUGAGUCGGAAUAAAAUGUGUGAACUUGGUCAAUCAAUCCACGAUGACCCAAAUCGAAUCCACUCUAUGUUCACUCUAAGGCAACAUCGUAAUGAAAUCCAUGGUAAUCUCCUCCCAUUUUCAAACAGUGAUAUCUAACGGUUACAUCUUGUCGUGAGGCCACUGAUGCUCGGCCUUGACUUUCCUUCAAGUCAAGCAUCUCUCCACGUACCAAGCUACAUCCCGCUUCAUACAGGGCCACCAAUAAUCAGGAUGAAGAUCAAUAUACAUCUUCGUCGUGGUGGGAUGAAUGGAGAAUCUCAAUUUGUGUGCCUCCUCCAUCAGAACUUGACGCACACCAGCCCAAUCGGAACCCACACUCUUCGAUGGAGAUUCAAUAACCCUUGGUUUUCAUAAUAAAAGGAAGCCACCUGACUCACUGUGCGCUCACUCUUCCCAUCACAACCUCAACCUGAGCCUCUCAAAUCUACUCUAAAAGUGGAGUGAUCACAGUCAUCCUGAAACAAAUAUCCUUGAACGGAGCCGCGAUCGCCUUGCUGCUAAGAGCAUCGGCCACCACAUUAUCCUUCCCCGUAUGGUAAAGGAUCUCACAAUCAUAAUCCUUCACCACAUCCAACCAUUGGCACUGCCUCAUGUUCAUAUUUGGCUGAUCCAUCAGAUACCUCAAGCUCUUGUGAUAUGUCUAUAUAGUACAGCGGGCCCCAUAGAGGUAAUGUCAUCAAAUCUUGAGGGCAAAAACCAUAGCCCCAACUCUAAAUCAUGCAUCGGAUAAUUCGUCUCAUGAUGCUUCACUUACCUUGAAGCGUAAGCGAUCACGUGACCCCUCUGCAUCAGAACUACACCUAAACCUGUGAUCGACGCAUCAUAAUAAACCAUGAAAUCUUCAACACCCUCCGGCAGGGUCAAAAUAGAUGCCUCACACAAUCUUUAUCUUAGGGUCUCAAAAGUUGCAUGUUGGUCGGGCGCCCAGCGAAAAGUGACAAUCUUCUUCGUCAACCGAUUUAGAGGAACCGCUAUCUUGGAGAAAUCCUAAAUGAACCUCCGAUAAUAGCCUUCCAACUAAGGAAACUCCAAAUCUUAGAUGGAGACCUCGGUACCUCCCACCUCAUCACGGCCUCGACCUUGGCCGGAUCGACCAGAAUACUGUUUUGGUUGACAAGGUGCCCUUGAAACUGCACCUCGUGCAACUAGAACUCGCACUUGGAGAACUUUGCAAAAAGUCUCUCCCUCCUCAAAGUUUCCAAUACCUCCCUGAAGUGCUCCUCAUGUAGCUCCUGGGUCUUGGAAUAGACCAGGAUAUCAUCAAUGAAUAGGGCAUUUUGUAUAAUCAAUUGUUGAUGUUAUUGAAAAUAAUGAUGUUAUUGAAACAUAUGCAUGGCAUGUAUUCCCAAUAAUUAUAUUUAAUUAAUUGGUUGUUGUGCAUGUUAUUAUAUUGGGAACAAAUUAGAAAGUGGUCCAUGUGGUAGUACAUGAUAUGUAUGGGGACCAUUUGUAGUUAAUAGUCAAUGGGUAUUUUUAUAAUGGAAAAAUGGGACCUUUGAACCCAUUAUAGAACCAUAUCCAUGACUAUAUAACAAAUUCACAUGCAUGCACAUUAUUCCAAAUUUUUCCAUGCAUAAAUAUUCAAACCCAUUGGUCAUGAGUUUACUUAAAAAGGCAACAUACUUUCAUAAGUGAGUAAAAUAUCAUUUCAUGUCAACAAUUUACUUACAAAGGCAACAUACAUUCAUUAGUGACCAAAAUACCCUUUUAUGUCAUGAGUUAACUUAAAAAAGCAUCACGCAUACAUAAAUGACUAAAAUACCCUUUUAUGUCAUGAGUGAACUUAAAAAGGCACCAUGCAUACAUAAAUGACCAAAAUACCCUUUUAUGUUAUGAGUGAACUUAAAAUGGCACCAUGCAUACAUAAAUGACCAAAAUACCCUUUUAUGUCAUGAGUUAACUUAAAAAGCCACCAUGCAUACAUAAAUGAUCACAUCACAUGUAUUCAAAUACACAUACUUUAAAUCCAAAUUACCAUCAUCCUAAUACACAAACUUAAAAUCCAAAUUACCAUCAUCCUAACACACAUACUUUAAAUCUAAAUAACACAAAGGAAAAAUCAACACUAAUAAAUUAGAAGAGCUUUUCCCUUAGAAUUUCCUGGAUCAUCAACACCACCAACUUUCUUGCCUAAUUUCAACUUGAAGAUUCUCUUUGACUUUCUUCUCCUUAUCCUGUUCAAAAUCUUGGAAAUUGGUCUAACCCUUACCUGUUGAACCUAGAUAAUAGGAGUAACCUCCUAAAUUUGAACAUUAUCAACAACUUGGACAUUAGGAAUAACCUCAUCAUCUUGAACAUUACCACCCUCCUCAACUUCCUCACCCAUAACACCCCCAUCACCUUCAUAACUUCUAGGUGGAAUAACUUGCAUAGACUGACUAAAAUCCCUUGCACUACUGGAUUCAACAUGAGUAGAAGUAACUUGCAUAUCAUUUUGAGUAUUAUCCAUCUCAAUUGGAGUCAUUUAACCUCUUCUUGUUGUUGUGGUUCACUUGUACUACCCUAUAUGGCAUGAUAUAAUUAUGUUAGUGGCAAAUCAUAUGUAAAUAAAUUUAAAUUUUAAAUGGUUUUACCUGUUCUGCAUUUUUCUUCACAUAAACUUUUUGUUUCUUCUGUUUCUUUACAUUUAACUUUUGGGGCCUUCUCUAUGGACAAGUGGCCUUACUGUGACACAUCUCCUUGCAUAUAAUACAUCUAAUUUUCUUUCCAUCCUUAGAAACCCUGUGUGUUCCUGUAUUCUUUGUAGUGGAUUUCUUCUUCUUAGUAGCUGGCCUACCAUGCAUCCGUCUACUAAUAAGAGGCAAUGGUGGAGUAUAAUUUGUCUCUGGCCACAUGUCACUGCCAUUCAUGGGGGAAAUUCUGUAAUUGUAUGCCUUCCGAAUUGUGGUGGUGUUAAACAUGUUGUCUACAUAGGCUUCUACAUCUCUAUUAAGAUUGGAUAUGGUAGCUACAGAAUGAGCAUAUCCAUAUCCAUUUAACCGCCACAACCUACAUGAACAUGUUUUCCUUUAUAAGUCCACCUCAUAUGCAUCUGUUUCUCCCUUACCUCGAACUGGUUUAAUCCACUAGGUAGUACCUGAUAAUGCCUCUGAAUUUUUUAAGCAAAUUCACCUUAUCCCUUAUCUCUGGACAAAUAUUAUUUCCCCAUUGUUGUCCCUUUAAUUUCAUGUUGUACAUUUUGUCCAUCAUGUAUAAUCUUAACUCCUCUAACAUGGUUAUUAUGGGCUUCUUCCUGGUAUCCACUAUUACAACAUUAAAACUUUCAGAGAAAUCAUUUUCAACUGCAUCACAACACCUUCCAGCUUGAAAGUAAGCUCUUGACCAUGUUUUAAGAUCUUUCUCCAUGAGAUAUUGAUGGGCAUCUGGGUUUAAUGUCUCAAUUUCCUUCAUCACAACUUUAAAAGCAUGCUCAUUUGUGGUUUUAGAUGCUCUCCAAAACAAGGUAUGAUAUAUGACACCAGUGAAUCUCUUCUGCAAAUUUUGAAAAAUAUGUCUAGCACACUGCCUGUGCAUAUGGAAGAAACUCUUUAACAGCCUCUAUCAAACCUUGUAUUAAUAAAAAGGUUUAAAUCAGAUAGUAUAAAAUAAAUAUAAAUGAAUUACUAUGUAAAAUACUAACCUUAUGUUGGUCUGACAUUAAACUGAAGCAAUUGCCUAAACUUAAGUUUAGAUUAUUAAUGAGAAGCUCUAAAAACCACUUUUAAUUCUACUUGUUCUCCACACUAACCAUUGCCCAAUCAAUAGGAUAUAUCUUGUUAUUUACAUCCCUCCCAAUAACACAAAGCAAUCCCCCCUUACAAACACCUUUAAGAAAACAUCCAUCAAGACCCAUUAUCCUUCUACACCCUUUAAUCCAACCUUGUUUAAUUCCUUGAAAACAAACAUAGAACUUGCUAGAAUAUUUCUUUCCAUCUGGACCAUCCUCCACAUCUAGUUUCACAGUUGACCUAGGAUUUGUCCUUAAAAUCUCAUCAACAUAUUACCAUAGCUUACCAUAAUGUUCAACAAGGCUACCUUCAACAAGAUUUAAUGCAUACUUCUUUGUUCUCCUACAUUAGCCCAUACUAACUUGGAUACUAAACUUGGUCAUUACCUUUACCCUAAGCUUCCUUACACUCAUUUUAUGACUUUGUACAAUCUCUUUGGUAUAGUGACUCCCAAUCCAUGCAUAUGUCACCAAUAAUCCAAACUUGAAGUUCCUAGCACAAUUAUGAUAAGCUUUUUGUGACUUGAUUUGGAAAGUCUCUCCAUCAUUCAUCCAAGAAGCCCAUAAUAUAAAUGUGCAAGCACCCUUGCUACAUCUCACCAAAAGUCUUUUCCUAUCAUAUUUUUUCAAAACACAAUUGAUAUCCAUUAGCCACAACAUAGUUGCACAACCUUGACUUUACUUGCCCUGGACCCUUAGAUCUCAUUCCUAGAAUUGGUUUUUGUUUUUUCCAGUGUAAUAGCUCAUUAAAUAUGGAAAUAGUUUGGAUGUUAGGUUCAACUUCUCUCCCAUUAUCAUCAUCUACAAUGUUGUUAUCCUCCUCAUCAUCAACACACAACUUACUCACGAAAGGAUCAUUUGAUGUCCUAUUCAUAUGCACUGCAUCCUUAUUAAAUUCAAAGACAACAUUCCUAAGUUCAUCUAUGUUAUCUUCAUCUAUGUUAGCGGCGCAGCUUUUUGCCCGUUUGCCUUCAAUCGAUAUGUAUUGAACAAAAAUGUUUGAAUGUCUAUCAAUACAAGGCUCAUGUUCAUCAUCAAACCACCCACCAACACCAACCCCAAUAUGAUCCACAUAAACCGAAAUUACACCAUCUGUUCCAUCAACAUCAAAAAUAAAAGCAGCAUAGUCCACAUCAUCUGAAAAUGGGAUUAAGCUCUUCCAUCAGGGAAUUGCCUGGUUUACAGUAGUAAAACUUUUUACACUCUUCAUGCAUGAAAUGUUCACAGAAGGUCACAAGCUCAGAAUAAGUCAUAGAAGAAAAGUCGACAUCAGUGAACAUGGUUUUCACACCACCAGUGUAAGAGAAAGGAUUUCGAUUAAAUACCCCUUGGUAGUUGAGUUCCACCAUCACAAACACUCCAUUAGGUUCCGAUUGUGCCAUUUUUGCGACUUCUUUGGCUCUUCAGCUCGAUCACAAAAAUGCUUCACAAAACCUAAAUCAAUUUCUUUUAAAACUAAAUAAUGAAGACGAGUGAAGUUCGAUAGCUGAAGACAAAAGGCUUAAAGCUUCGUAUAUCAUCUAUUGAUGUGGCAUAUCUCACAUGGCAUCAGAUUAGCUAAAAAAGAUAUAUUAAUUGACAUAUAUAAAAUGUCAACCAGGAAACCGUUUACAAGUAUGGAAAUGACUAAAUUAAUAAGUCAGAUACCAUUUUAAUGGUCUAAUGUACCCAAAAAACUUUAAUGACCAAAUUAGCCAAAUGUAAAAAGUUUCAUGUGCUACAGUGACAUUAUCCCUGAUGGGUUUUGAGCAUUCUAACACUCCUAUGGUGUACAUGCAACCCUAGAAACCUUGGAUCUAUGUUUGACUAAUAUACAUGCAAAUAAUUAUUUUCCAAGGUUCUUAUCCUAUCUAGCAUGGCAUGGGAACUUGAAUCAAAUAGAGCUAGUAGAAUUACUUACCUUGUAGUUGUUUAAAGCUUCGUAUAUCAUCUAUUGAUGUGGCAUAUCUCACGUGGCAUCGGAUUAGCUAAAAAAUAUAUAUUAAUUGACAUAUAUAAAAUGUCAACCAGGAAACCGUUUACAAGUAUGGAAAAUGACUAAAUUAAUAAGUCACAUACUAGUUUAAUGGUCUAAUGUACCAAAAAAACUUUAAUGACCAAAUUAGCCAAAUGUAAAAAGUUUCAUGUGCUACAGUGACAAUAUCCCUGAUGGGUUUUGAGCAUUCUAACACUCCUAUGGUGUACAUGCAACCCUAGAAACCUUGGAUCUAUGUUUGACUAAGAUACAUGCAAAUAAUUAUUUUUCCAAGGAUCUUAUCCUAUCUAGCAUGGCAUGGGGAACUUGAAUCAAAUAGAGCUAGUAGAAUUACUUACCUUGUAGUUGUAGUUGAUUGCUUGGAGUUUUAGAGCCUAGCACCAAUAGUGUGGAUGCCUCAAAUGUAAAUCACAAAUCACUACAAACUUGGAACUUUGAGAGAAUAGUAACCACCUUUCUUGAAAUCGGCCCUCUUACUUUACUCACCACAACUAGUAUGAUUUCAAGAACCAAAGCCUCCUUUAUAUAGUGUGGUGGAUUAGGGUUACAUCCAUGUAAACCCUAAUACCCAUGUCUUUUCAUUUCCAUGAGAUCCAUGGGUUAAAGCUCCAUGGAGUAUCCAUGGACUUUCCAAGCAAGCCUAGCCCAUUCCAAAUAAGCAUUAGCCCACACUAUAUAAAUAUAAGAGCCCAUAUUUAAUUAGUAAUACUUUUGAUCUCUAAAUUAAUUUUAGAUUAAUUAUAGAUCAAUACUAAUUAAAUAAUAUGGUUUUAUAUUAAUAUAUUAGAACUUAUAAUAUAUUAAUAAAUCAUAACUUAUACUAUUCUCAAAAGAUUAUCCAUAAAUUGUUCGGGUGAAGUGCAACCCAAAUGGACCAUGACGGGUCGGGUCAAGUACAUACCAAAUAUAGUUAUGGACUUAGACACUAUAUCCAACAAUCCCUACAUAAAGUCAUAUGUAGUCAAGGAUCAGAUAGAUAAUCGAACAUAUGACUCACCUAAGAGCGAACAAUCAGAAAAGAACAUCACAAUCAAGCCUUAGAUCAAGAGUUAUCAGUCUAUCCAACUUAAACUAGAUAGACCUAAGAUAUUAUUACCACCUAACCAUGUGACAUAAACAUUUAACAGAUACUAGCAUAUUUAUACACUUAGCAACUAUCCUUCCCUAGUUACCCUGUCAUUGAUCACUUCUCAAUCAAGUGAUCAUCUGGUCAGUCAUGCAUAAUCAUGAUAAUUGACCUACCCCAAUUUCCCUAACUAAACAUAACUCAUAACAAUAUCAUACAAUAAAUAGGAAAGACCUCACAAGAAUAGCAUACCCAGACACCAAGUGUUCUAAACUGCACAUGCAUAUCCUAGCCAACUAGCAUAUUUGUACUCUAACAGUAUCUCCAUCCUAUCAUGCACAGGAUAUAUAAUGAGAUAUGUGGCAUACUAUGAAACUCACCUGAACUGAAGAACCGGAGAAGCACAACAACACUCUUACACAUUUCACUACUCGAUCAUGUGAACCAAUUAACACCAAAAUAGAUAAAUCCUCAAUCAAUAAUCCAAAUCCUCCAAGUUUGACCCUAAGUCAAACUGGUCAAAAGUCAAUAGUCGAUGUAACGCCCAUGUUUCUUUCCAGACAUUAACUAAAUAAUUAGGGUCAACAAUCACCACAACGUGGUAACCUCUUGGCCACAUCCUGGGAAUUUCCAUACAAAAUAGUUACGAAGCUUAGGAUCACCAUGUCGUUGCAAGCCUAUUGCCACGUCGUGGAAAUUCACAGGAAGUCAUAUUCUUCAUUAUGAGCUUAAUGCUUACAGAUCUAAGCUCAAACUUUCAUAUUUGAUUCUUCUUGAUGAAUUAAUGGAUCUUAAACCAUAAGUCUAUUAAGUCUUUAAUAUGACCAAAACUAGAGCAUGGAGAAAAGGGAGCUAUGAAUUAACGCUUUUUCCAUCAAACAAGACCAAAAGAUGGUCACCAAACAAUUCUAAAGUUCUGGAGUUGGCCAAAACUCCAAGAAAAUGCCUUCAAGGGACUUCAAAGCAUGAUAUGAGAGAAAAGGAUGAUAAAGGUGGAAGCUUUAUACCUUCCCAAAAUCCACAAGACAUAGGAGAUGCAAGAUCUGAAGUAGAUACACCAUUCAAACUAGCAAACACACUGUCGUUUCCUUCCCAAAGUGCAACCCAAGGCUUCAAACUUCAAGAACUCCAAGAACUCAUCAAUAUCACUCAAAUAGGGCUAGGGUUUCGAAAUAGGAGGAUGGAGACUGAGGGAAAUGAGCUAACCCUAGAGUUAAGGCCAUUAAAUAUGGGAGAAAAUAUAAAAAAAAAAAUUAUGUGCUUGGGCUACAGCACUCACAACGUCGUGGCAACCCUCUAGUCAUGUCGUGGUGCUCUUCAAAAUGUGCGUUCCCGAAAAUAUGUGUCACGUCGUGGUCAUCCAUGCACCAUACCAAGGCAUAGAUUUUUCUCCUAAAACCCCAUCUUUGAUCCUAUUAGCUCUUUAGUUAAACUAUUAUAGAAAAUAGGUGUUAUAGCCACCAUUCCGAGUUCCUUCUGUGACUGCUAAAUUAGUGUUUGGCGGGUUGGGGAGCCCGACUUCUUUCUCUUAUAUCUUCACAUAUAUAUAUAUAUAUAUAUAUAUAUAUAUAUAUAUAACAUUUUUUUUUCAAAAGUGUAAUACUAUCAAGGGAAAUUGACUUAUCAGGGUAAUUACUGUUUUGUUUUGUUCACAUCGGGGUAACUCUUUUUUUAGUACACAUCUAGGUAACAAACUUUUUGUAAGUGUUCACAUGUGACCAUUAUAAUUGGUUGUAGCAAGUUACAACCGAACGUAAUUGUCAUAUAUGAACACUUCCAACAAGCUCGUUACCUCGAUGCAUACAAAAAAAUGAAGUUACACAUAUGUGAACAAAACGAAAAGGUAAUUACCCUGAUAAGCCAAUUUCCCUUUUUAUUAAGGUGGCAAAUCAUAAUGUUUGUAAUAUUAAUAUAUUCAUUUAAAUUUCUUUAAAACAACAUUUGUAACACCCGGAAUCUAGAAGAUUAAUUAUGGAAACAAAUUCCCUUACCUAAGUAAAAACACGAUGAGUUGAUGGUGGGAAACUCGAUGUGUUGGAGGUUUUUGGGACACACGUUUUUAUGAACCAACUCGGUGAGUUGGUGAAGGAAAAUCGGCGAGUUGGACACUGACUGAGAAACCCUAAUUUUUAGGGUGUUACACCCUAUUUAAAGACCUUAAGUUCUUUAGCUGGCCUCCUUACCGGCCUCCUCUAUCCAGAAACCCUAAAACUGAGCCUUGUCUUCCAUUUAUGAGUGUGAAAGCUUGGGGAGAGCCUUGAGAGUUCAUUUUUGGUGCUUUUUGAAGGAGCUAAGGAAUUAGGAGUUGCUUGGCUUGAAGAAGAAGUCUUGGAUCCAGAAUCUCUGCCUCAUUUGCCAAGUUUUUGAGGAAUCGUGUUCUUACCUUGCUUAUUUGUUGCUUAGAUCUCUUCUUGGGUUAGAGUUUAUGAUUUUUAGCCAUUUUGGGUGAAUGUUGGGGAUUAGGAGGUCCCAAGCAAUUAUUAUUUCAGAUAUAAGGGCUAGCGGCGCUGCUUGUUGCCCGUUCGCCUUCAAUCGAUAUGUAUUGAACUUUCAUUGGAGUAUAUUUUCUUAAUAUAAAUAUAUAAUAGAUAUAAGGUCUACAUGAGCUCUUUAGGCAUAAAGGUGCCAACUUUAUGGAUUUAAUGGCUUCAUGUAUUCAUUAAGUCUUUCAGUUAGCCCUUUUUGAGCUUUUGAUCACCUCCUAGUCAUGCUUAAGUGUAAAGUUGGAAACUUUACACGGCCAUCUAGCCUUAUGGGGACAGAUCUGCAUUAUGGGUUUUAUCUUUGAUGAUUAAGUGAUUAAUGAUUAAGCCUUCACUCUUUUAAGUUUAGGGUUUGGGUUUGGACCCAUUAGGUGAUUCCUAGGGGUAAAGUUGGAAAAUUUACCCUUCUUGAUCUCAUUUUGGUCGAGAGCAGAGCUUUGGAGCCUUUGGACUCGAUGAAGGUACCUUAAUGCAUUAAGAUGUUGGUUCUUGAGAGAACUCGGCGAGUUGACUUGGUUUCCCCGAUUUGUGUAGUUGAUGGAGAAACUCGACGAGUUGGGUUAACUUGGACCGUUGACUUUGACUUUCGAUUUAUGUCUUUGAACAAGUUUGUCCCAAUGGGUACUUGAGGUAAUCUGAAUUGUAAUUAAGGGAAUUAUGAGAUUAGGAUAAGGCCCAUAUGGGGUUGGUCCCAAUUUGGAAAAUUGGGCCAUUACUGGGCCUUUGCGGAUCUUUUGGUUUUGGACUUUUUGGUUAAUGGAAUUUGGGCCUCAGUUUUGGUUCAUGACGCGUUAGGGUUAAAAUGGUCAUUUUCCCCCAAGUAUGGAUGGAGGGCUUUAGAAUGGAACCCAAUUGCUAAUUAGGUGUUAUUUUGAUCUCAUAGCUCGGAGGUCUCAUCAGGGCAGCAGCUAGGGACUUCUUUCUGUGAGUUUCUGCGUUCGAGGUGAGUCUCCUUACUUUUCUAUGGUUUGAAGGCAAUAAUGACGGCCCAUUUGGUUUAUGUAUUAUAGGAAGACCUGGGGGAUAAACCUUGGCAGUUUGUAUGAAAGACCAGGAGGCGGCUCCUGGCAAACUGUAUGCAAGACCAGGGUCUGAACUCUAGCAGUUGACUAGUUAAGUAGUGUAGAUUUUAUACUAUUUGUCUUUGUGACACUUUCAUGGAAGACUCGAAGGUGGAUCCUGGCACUUGUCUGUAAGACCUAGGUUUUUGGCCCCCGGCCUGACAAGGAAGACCACAAGGCGGCUCAUGUCAUAAUGGCAAGACUAUGGAUGGCACAUAUCACCUUUACUAAUUGGGGUAUAUGUAUGCUAAGUAAGACUCAGUGAUAUUAAUGUUAUUUAUAGUUUUGAGUUGAGUUUUCUCCUGCGAUUGAGGUGCAACAGUUGGUGCGAGAGUUUCUGGAUCUCUGUCAGACUACUGAGACUGUGGCAGAUUGUGGAAGGGUGGAAGUGAUGUAAGACUGAGGGGUGGCCCGUAGCAUUCACUAGUUAGAAGUUGGUAUAAAAAUGUUGUAAGACUGUGGGGUGGCACGUAGCAUUCACUAGCGAUCAGAUAGUGUGGGAAGUGUUGUAAGACAGAGGGGUGGCCCGUAGCAUUCACCAGUCCCUAUACAGCGGUGAGAGUGUGGCAAAUUUGUGAUUUGCUCACGGUUUUCUUCGGAUGAUUUUGGCCAGGAUGGAUCAGUUCGCAAGGCUAUGGGAAGGACACAACAUGUUUGGAAUCAAGAUAUGGGAGGUCGUGGGAGACCGGGUUUGAGGUAAGACUAUAGUUGGUCUGUAACGUUCAACCUAGUAUCAGAUUAUUGACGAGACGGUUUGGGUAGUUAUUGCCAGUGAGGCUUUUUUUCAAAAGUUGCGAUGGGCGAUUGUGUGGAGUUUCAAAAGCAGCUACGAGGCAACAAGCUGUUUUGGGCAGUAUUAGUGAUUUUUGGGCAGUAUUUUCGGGUAGUACUAGUCAUUUGGAAUUUGUGUGUGAAUAUGUAAUUUUUCAAACAAUUUUUUUUUCAUUUAUAAAACUCAUAAAAACUCAUAUAUUUCAUUUCAUAAAAUCACAAGUGUCUCAAGUCAACAUAAAUCCACAAGAAAAAUCAAAUCCUAGAAUCCUCAACAUAAUCUCGAACAGGUGUGUACAAUCACGUCGGUGCCUUCCCGCGAUCCUCGGAGGUACUUGAAACACAUAUCACAUAGCACGGUAAGCAUAAAGCUUAGUGAGUUCCUCAAAAUACCAUGCACACACAUAAUUAGCCACUCGAGGCUAUCGCUCUGUAAGACCCUCCGGUUAAUGUGUCUUAGCGAGACCCACCAGUCCUACAAAUCGUCAGACCCUCCGGUCCGGUCUAAGUGAGAACCCUCCGGUCUCACUACUCGUUGGACCCUCCGGUCUAGUCUAAGUGAGGACCCUCCGGUCUCAUAGUUCGUUGGACCCUCCGGUCCGGUCUAAGUAUCUCAUAAUAUAGUACACAGUAUAUAUCACACAGAAAUACAUAACUCAAGCAAGCACAUAAGACCCUCUGGUCACACAUAAUGACCACACUAGGUAAGGUAUAAUGAGAAGACUCACCUCCUAAGAACUCGGAUAAUCUCAAACUCAAAUCACAGGUUUAGCCUCCGCCUAAUAUACACAAUAAUUAUCCCUAAUUAAUAACGGCUCUCACAAGGCUGAACUAACCCUUCCAUACACUCACAGAAGGGUAAAAGACCAUUUUACUCCUCCAUGGGCUUAAUAGACCACAUGUUGACCAAACCCUAAAAGUCAACCGAAAGCCAACAGCAAGGAGUACGCUGUGCGUACCAACUCCCUACGUUGGGCAUACUCGGCUGCCAUGCAGGCAUCGUGGAGACUCGACCUCUACGUUGUGCGUACUGGGAUUAUGCCCAGCGUACAUCCUAGUUUCACUCUCCUCACAAUUUUGGUCUUAAACAGUUAAUACAUUGGCUCAUAAUUCAGAUCUGGACUCCCUAAUGUCUCUUAAUCCAUAAAGUUGGUGACUUUAAGCCUUUGCGUGGCUAAAUAGGUCACAAACACUGAAAACUCCCAUCCCCUUUCCUCAUGAAACUCAUAACUCAUGCAUGGCUUACUCCUAAUGUCCAAGAUUAGAUUUUUAUGACUUUACUCCACAAAAUACACUGAAAAGGGAUAGAUCAAGGCCUCUAGAGUGCAUUAUCUCAUAAAGUCUCCAUCUUUUGGGAAAAAACCCUAAAGUAAUUCAUAUGAAUGCACCAAACAAACAAAUGAGAAAGCUUGAAGAUUUAUACCUUUAUGUGAAACCUUCUUCACAGCUAAGCUCAGAUCCAACUCCUGGGGCUCUCACUCCUUCUUCUCUAAAGCUUCCUCUCUACUUCAAGAACACAAGAUUACACCAACAAGCUCUCAAAUGCACUCUCCAGCUAUAAUGACGGAGAUUUAGGGUUAGGAGGGGUUGGUGUUUGGGAAUGGUGGCCAGGAAUGAGGCCAUCAUGUCCUUUAAAUAGUGAGCUCAUUAAAAUUUAGGGUUUCAUUAUGGGCCUAGCAUGCCCAGCGUACCCACUGGUACGUCGCGCGUACUAGGUGGCCUCCACAUCACUAACACGCAUUGGAGUAUGCUGAGCGUACACUCAAGUACGCCCCGAAUACUCGUUUACCACCUUUUCUCUAAUAAGGCCAAAAUGGACAAAUGCUCAAUAGAUCAAGGUUUACAAGGUAUACCUGGACUUGGGAUGUUACAUCGUGUGUGAGUCUCUUGUAGUUCGGGGAAUAUAAUAAGUUGCUUGUAGUGGAUUAAAUAAUCUCAGAGUGGUUGAUUUGAUUCUAUUGCGCAGUUCUCGUCUGAGUCUAACCAUUGCAGGGAUGAAUCUUCUACUCAAAGGAUUAUCUGAGCCUAUUGUCGAGUAUAAGUGUUCUGUAGCUGCAAAUGAUCUGUUUUUUGGUUCCUUUAAAAGCAUUAAGAUAUUGGUUUUAUAGUGGUUCAGAGAGGGGGAGGGGGUGAUCAGCCAGGAAGUCAAAUCAAAUUGAGAUUUCAGGUAUCAGGAAAGGUAAAGGUGGGUUUUUCUGCAAGGGAUUAAGGUUCGUUCUGCUAGGGUUGGUUUCAGUUGCUAUGGGAAGGUGGUAGUAUUAUGGGGUUGUGAAGAUGAGUCCUUAUGGGGACAGUGUUAUCUGGUGCUAUCUGUCAUGGAGUUCGGCAAUGUCCAGGGUUUUCCAGGUUCAAGUUUAAUGGUUAGGGAUCUUCUAUUUUGGAUUUGUCAUCGGUAUGGGUGGGCGGUUAUCUAAGCGGGGUGACUUCCUUAGUCUUUUGGGGUUCAAGGAGUUUAGUCAGGAUCAUCAGUUCGGUACACGAGAUUUUAGGGAAUGAUUUCGAGGAUGAAAUCUAAUUUAAGUGGGGGAGAGUUGUAACAUCUGGAAUUUACAAGAAUAAUUGUGGAAAUAAAUUCCCUUUCUAGGGACCAACACGGCGAGUUGAUCGUGGGAAACUCGACGUAUUGGAGGCUUUUGGGAUGAGCGUUUUUAUAAACCAAUUCAAUGAGUUGGUGAAGGGAACUCGGCGAGUUGGACGCUAAUCGAAAAACCCUAAUUUUUAGGUUGUUGUACCCUAUCUAAAGGCCUUAAGUUCUUUGGUUGGCCUCCUUACCAGCCUCCUCUGUCCAAAAACCCUAAAAUCGAGCCUUAUCUUCCAUUGUUGAGUGUGAAAGCUUGGGGAGAGCCUUGAGAGUUUAUUUUUGGUGCUAGUUGAAGGAGCUAAGGAAUUAGGAGUUCCUUUCCUUGAAGAAGAAAUCUUAGAUCCAGAAUCUCUGCCUCAUUUGCCAAGUUUUUGAGGUAUCAAGUUCUCACCUUGCCUGUUUGUUUCAUAGAUCUCUUCUUGGGUUAGAGUUAAUGCUUUUUAGCCAUGGUUGGGUGGAUUUUGGGGAUUAGGACAUCCCAAACGAUUAUUAUUUCAGAUCUAAGGUAUAUAUGAGCUCUUUUGGCAUAAAGGUGCCAACUUUAUUGAUUUAAGGGCUUCAUAGAGUCAUUAAUUCUUUCAUUUAGCCGUUUUUGAGAUUUUGUGCUCGUCCUAGUCAUGCUUAAGCGUAAAGUUGGAAACUUUACAUGGCCAUCUAGCCUUAUGGGUUCAGAUCUGCAUUAUGGGGUUUUGUCUUUGCUGAUUAAGUGCUUAAUGAUUAAGCUAUCACUCUUUUAAUUCUAAGGUUUGGGUUUGGACCCAUUUAGGUGGUUCCUAGGGGUAAAGUUGGAAACUUUAACCUUCGGGGUCUUAUUUUGGUCAAUAGCUGAGUUUGGAGCUCUUGGAUUCGAUGAAGGUAGCUUAACGCAUUAAGCUGUUGGACUUUUAGAGCUCAUAUCGUGAGUUCGAUCUUAUCCAUCCGCUGAAUCGACUUCUGACAGCCCGACUCUGGAACCCAUCCAUCACUGGCUCACGUCGUGAGCUUCAUGCUCACGUCAUGAGUCCUCUUAUAGUGUGGGGUUGAGUCUUUUACUCGAAGGAUUAUUUGAUCUUUGUUGCGUGUGGCUAUAUUAAUGAGGAAGCUAGUUGACAUUGGUGGGAUUCCUUUAGCAGUUGAGGGUUUGGUGAGGUCGGGAACCUAGGAAAGCCUAGGAUAUGCUUUAGUGGGUUAGUGGUACGGUUUAGUGAGUUUUGGUGCAUUGUGCUGAAGAAGUGACUUAGAGGAUUCGAGAGGAUUACUGAGGAAAGUAUGGAUAGGUGGGCUUUAGAAUGGAACCCAAUUGCUAGUUGGGUGUUAUUGUGAUCUGAUAGCUCGGAGGUGUCGUCAGGGCACUAAUGUCGGCCCAUUUGGUUUAUGUAUUAUAGGAAGACCCAGGGGAUAACCCUGGGCAGUUUGUAUGAAAGACCAGGAGGCGGCUCCUGGCAAACUGUAUGCAAAACCAGAAUCUGAACUGUGGUAGUUAACUAGUUAACUAGUGUAGAUUGUAUGCUAGUUGUCUUUGUGAUGCUUGCAUGGAAGACUCGGAGGUGGCUCAUGGCACUUUUUUGUAAGACCGCAGGUUUUGGCCCCCGCCCUGACAAGGAAGACCACGAGGCGGCUCGUGACAUAAUGGAAAGACUAUGGAUGACACAUAGCACCUUUACUGAUUGUAGUAUAUGUAUGCUAAGUAUGGCUUGUUGAUAUGAAUGUUAUUUAUGGUUCAAUCGGUAUGUUUGGUAUGUGGUAUUUGGGGAACUCAAGAAGCUAUGUGCUUACAUUUUGUGCUUUAUGGUUUCAUGUAAUUCCAUUUUGAAAGGAAAGGGUUCGGCUUAAUCGCAACGCAUACACCCAUGUUUUCCGCAAUGUGUGAUAUUUAGGAAUGAACUCUGAUAAUUGUUUUAUUUUGAAACUCUUCUAGAUGUCGGAUUAAAGGUUAAUGAAUGUUUUGGGCAUAAUAAAAACGAAAUUUUUACCCCUGAUUUUCGGGAUGUUACAACAUUUAUUACCAUUUAUUGACAUUUAAAUUGGCCACGACAUGUUUGAAACCAUUUGUGAUAGCAUAAUUAUCAAAUCAAAUAACUCUAUAUAUUGAGACAAGAGCAAUGUUAUCCAUGUGGAUAAAAUGUAUUUCUAUUUUUUGUAUUUUAAAUUCAUGUAAUACAUGGAACAAAAUUGAAGAUGAUAUUCUAUUUCAUGUUAUUGGUCUCAAUAUCUGACACUUUUAGUAUCUAGUAAAUUUUAAUUUUCAUAUGUAAUAUCUUAAACAAUAAAAUUCUAUAAAAUGACGAUGUAUUUUUUCCAUGUCAAAUGUGAUUUUUUUUUUGUAUCAAAGUAGUGUAUUUUAAAAAGAUAUUUACCAAGUUGGAUUGAGUGACAAGUGGAUUGAGUUAACUGAAAAAAAAAAUUAUUUUUCAUGGGUUAGAAAAGAUGAAAAAAAAAAGUUGAUAUAGAACUCACACCACAUGAAUGAUUUGACACCGUUCUACUCCUACGACCUUUACCCCCAACAUCGAAUUCAUUAUGAUUGUUAGCCUAUCUUACGAGACAGACAUGACCUCCUACUACCAUGUAUACUAAGUCCCACUAUUUAUAACUCUACCCUAUAAAACUCGACGGAGCGCUGGGGUGAAGGGUUACGGGAUCCUUUCCCGCUCACCGGAACANNNNNNNNNNNNNNNNNNNNNNNNNGGGGGGGGGGGGGGGGGAAGGCUGCUGCACUCUCUCUCUCUCUCUUCUUCCUAUUGGCUGGUUUUUUUCCCAAGCGAACUGUUUGAAAUAAAUAACAAAAUUAAUUUUUUUUUCAAUACAACUAUUGAAAAACAACAAUGAAUUUAUAUAUAUAUAAUUUUGUUUUUACCUCUAUAACAUCUAUAAAUAUACACAUACUUUAACCUUUCAAACUCACACCUCCUUCUAUGAAUUUCUCUGUACUUUCUUCAAAAAAAGGAAUCCAUACAACCAAACCCCAAACUUCGAUAGAAGGAAAAAAACCAAUGUUUCAAAUUUAAGCACCCCAACUCGAAACAUUUUUGAUAUCGAUUCAUCUCAAGGGGUUUAUCGUCCACAACUCGAUGCUCACAUUUAAUCUUCACUACAAUCACAAUACCAAAAUAUUAGACAAUUUUACCCGAUGCAAGUUCCAAAUGUUACUCCAAAUAUGCUAUUAAACUUUGUUGUUUUUCCUGAUCAACUUUCGCCAAAUCAACCCCAAACUCAAAUCCCACUCUUUCAAUCUCAAACCCAAACCCAACCUAAGCCCAAACACAAUAUCAACAACAAUACCAAAUCUUCGAUGAGUCGGAUGAAGAGAUUGUACGGGAAACUCAACCCACAACCCCCAACCCCACAAAGUAAAACAACAAGUGAGAGAGGGUUCCAUACAACCGGGACGACAGAAGCCGCAACCAUGGACUAAACGAGAAGAGAUAAUUGGGGUAAAAGCUUGGGUUGACAUUUCAGAUGAUUCAGCGACAGGAAAAUGCACAACCUGAGGAUCAUUUUUGGUUUCACAUUCUUGAGAGGUUUCAUAAGGAGAUGGGAAAAAGUGACGAGUAUCGUACCAAUCAUCAAUUGAAUUCAAAGUUUCGAGAAAUAGCGUGGGCCGUUUCAAAAAUGAGCGGGUGUACAACAACCUAAAAACCUAAUGGAAAAGCAGCCAAGGAGAUGAAGAAAUACUUCAGGAAGUUUUGCAUUUUUUCGAGAGGAAGUGGGAAAGUCAUUCAAGUGCCACGAUUGUUGGAAAAUAUUGAUUAAAAGUCGUAGGUGGAAAAAAUACGAGCAAGAGUUUAUACGUCGAGUACAACAAUCAAAACGAACAAAAAUGAGCUCUAGUGGUUACACAACUUCCUCCGAUGCUCGGGUCGGUCUAGAUUUAAAUGACGAGGACGCACUCGAGCUAGAAGAAAUUGUCCGACCGAUAGGUAGGGACAAAGCAAAAAUGAAGGGAAAUGAGACUUCUUGGGGUGAAUCGAAUUUCAGCAUGGACGCGGACCAAGUGCGAAAAAUGGUGGAGAUAUUUGAUCGAUAUAAUCUUAAUUUUGCUGAAAGUUUUGGCAUUCGACAAAGACAAAGAAGGAGAAAAAAAGAAGGAGAACGCAUAGAAACAAGAAAUGGAGGAGAUGAUGUUAUUGAUGAAAAAUACCGACCAUCUUUCGGGACUAGCUUCGGAGCUCGUUUUGAAAAAAAAAGGUGCGGAUUAUGCAAAAAUAUUUUCCCUAAGAGUGUUGUUUGUUUUUUUUUUCUAGUUAUUUAAAUCUUAGGUUUUUAUGUAAUUUUUAUUAUAAUUAACAAUGGCGGAGUUACUAUAUCAUUAUAAAUAAUAUUUUGUUUCUUAUAAUGAUAAUCUUUCCUAAUAAAUAAAGAACUUUUUGUCACAUGUCAAACUCUCAUUGAUUUGACCACAUGUCAUUUUGUGGUUAUUUUCAAUUAAUUUUUUUUUACACAUGUCAUUUUGGGGUUUUUUCAUUUUAUUAAUUUUCACAUAAUAUUUAAAUGUAAUAAUUACAAUAAAUAUAAUAAUAAAAUGCAUAUCAAUUUUAUUAAUUGACUUCCUUUUAAUUUUAAAAUUUCUAAAUUAAAGUUUCAUUAGUUUCCUUUAUUUAUUUAUCUAAAUUAUUUGUUUAAUUUAAAAGAAAAACAAACAAUUUAAUUUUAAUAAUUAAAUGUUUUUCUAUUGUUUUCUUAUAAAUUCAAACUUGUCAAAUGUUUAAAAUUUUAUAUGUUUUUCUUUAAAAUGAACUCAUGUAAUACAUGAGUGUUACACCUAGUGAUAGAUUAUAUCACGAGUACAAUUCAUUUAAUGAAACAUAUGUACGUAUAAUUAGAGAAAAUUUUUAAUAUUAGCAUGUUAAUCCUCUCUAAAAAAUAAAAAUAAUUUUGCCACAUAUCACUCUUUUAUUAAUUUGGACACAUGUCAUUUUUUGGUAUUUUUGAUUAAAUGUUUUUUCCAUUUGUCAAUUUUUUAUUUUUUAAUAUUUUCUUAAUUAACACAUCAUAUAUACACCUCAAUUAAUAAUUACCUUAAUUGAAAAUAACCAAUAAAUUACAAUAUUAAUAGUCAUAUAGUAUUUAAUAUGUUUCCUUUUAAAUUUAAAUUUUAAAAUUUUAAUUUCAAAUCUAAAAUUUCAAAUUUGAAUAAAAUUUGUUUGAACUUUUAUAUUUAAUUUUUGUUUUAUCAAACUCGUAUAACAUACGGGUCUCACACCUAAUGGAGAAUUAUAAAUCAACGUUUAUUGUCGGUCUAAACUUUUGAAAUGUCAUUUUUGCAAUGAUCGGUAUAACUUCUCCUUAAAGGAAUUUUUAUAGUCAUUUUCUCUUUCAAGAUUGUAGACUCUUUUACAUUAUUUUGAUAAAAGAUAUAUUUGAAUAUAUUUUUACGACGUCGGCUUUCCUUAUUCUUAAAUCCUGGCUCCGUUCCUUUUAAUUAAUGUAGUGGUUUUUAUUUUUAAUUAUAUAUAUAUAUAUAUAUAUUACUUAUUCAUUUAUAAAAUUAUAAAUCAUAAAAUCAAUUAUUUUUACUUAAAAAAGAGUGAUACACCUUUACAAAAUUAUAAACCAUAAAAAUCAAUUAUUUUUACUUAAAAAAUAGUGAAAAAACCUUCCCACAUACACCUUGGUUUCUAACUAAGAAAAAAAAUGUAGGAAAAAGGAUAAAAUGAUAAAGAAAAAUAAUAAAAAAAAAAAUAAAAACCUUCCCGUACCCACCCUCCGGCAUAAGAAGGUGCGUCCCUACGAGUACAAGAUACACAGGUGUAGAUACAUAUGUAAAAAGCUAGUAAUUAACCAACUAAUUAUUAAUUAUUAAAUAAAAUAGGGAUAUAAUAUUAAUGAUAAACACAUUAAAAUAUUCCAAAUGCUCAUGAAGUCAACAUGAGAAAUUAUAUUGCAAUAAAUUUCUUGUUGGGUGAGAAAUUCACAAGUAAAAUUUGUAUAGUAAAUAACAAACCGAAAGUUCCAGAAACAGGUCAAAACUUAAAACCCUAAAUGAGCUUACAAAUUUCCAUUGGCCACAUACCCCACCACAAAGGCACAAACAAUCAAUGAAACAAGUGUAGAUGUAGAGGCCUUUUUCACCACAAUCACCCUUCAUCGGCCAUUUCGAAGGCCACGUGAAAUGUCACUAACGUGGCCCUCUAAAUAUCCACUACUUUGUCUUUAACCCCUCCCCCCUCCCUUAUAAAACACUCCAUCCUCCUCCUUAAUCACCAUCACCAACAACCUUCUCUCCUUCCUCAAAAGUACCACCAUCUUUUCCGACAUGGCAGCUUCUUCAAUCUUCAUGGCAACUCCCAUCACACUCCUCAAAAAAACUCCCACCUUCUCCGUCAAAUGCAUGUCACAAACACCUCAAAGCGGUGAACCGGAGAUUUCAAAAUCAGCAACCACCCCAACACCACCACAGAUCAACAUUCCUCCUCCUCCGCCACCUGCUCCAAAGGUCAGCACGAAAUUCUCUGACGUGUUGGCGUUUAGUGGACCUGCACCGGAGAGGAUCAACGGAAGGUUGGCGAUGAUAGGGUUUGUGUCGGCGAUGGCUGUGGAAGUGAGCAGCGGUCAAGACGUGUUUACCCAGAUCGGCAACGGCGGAGUUGCGGUGUUUGUGGGGACUAGCGUCGUGUUGACGUU
rnacentral:lncRNA from 1 species